GGCGACCGCUAUUGGAGUUCGAUUAAGCCAUGCGAGUAGAAAGAAAUUAGAUUCUUUGCAUACUGCUCAGUAACACGUGGAUAACCUGCCCUGUGCUGGAGGAUAAUCUUGGGAAACUGAGGAUAAUACUCCAUAGACCACUACGCCUGGAACGGUGAGUGGUUCAAAGCUCCGGCGGCACAGGAUGGGUCUGCGGCGUAUCAGGUUGUAGGGGGUGUAAUGGACCCCCUAGCCAUCGACGCGUACGGGUUGUGGGGGCAAUAGCCCGGAGACGGAUUCUGAGACACGAAUCCGGACCCUACGGGGUGCAGCAGGCGCGAAAACUUCACACUGCAGGAAACUGUGAUGAGGGAACUCCAAGUGACUGCACAUUGUGUAGCCUUUUCUUGACUGUUAAUAAGUCUUGGAAUAAGGGCUGGGAAAGACCGGUGCCAGCCGCCGCGGUAAUACCGGCAGCUCGAGUGGUCGUCGCUUUUAUUGGGCCUAAAACGUCCGUAGCCUGUUCAGUAAACCCGUGGGUAAAUCAACCAGCUUAACUGGUUGAAUUCUGCGGAGACUGCUGGACUAGGGACCGGGAGAGGUAUGAGGUACUCUCAGGGUAGGGGUAAAAUCCUGUCAUCCUGAGAGGACCACCUGUUGCGAAGGGCGUCAUACUGGAACGGAUCCGACGGUCAGGGACGAAGCCUAGGGGCAUGAACCGGAUUAGAUACCCGGGUAGUCCUAGGUGUAAACGCUGUGGACUUGGUGUUGGAGAUCCGCAAUGGGUCUUCAGUGCCGCAGCGAAGGUGUUAAGUCCACUGCCUGGGGAGUACGGUCGCAAGGCUGAAACUUAAAGGAAUUGGCGGGGGAGCACUGCAACGGGAGGAGCGUGCGGUUUAAUUGGAUUCAACGCCGGAAAACUCACCAGAGCCGACUGUUAAAUGAAGAUCAGUGUAAUGAGCUUAUCGGAUUAUCAGAGAGGUGGUGCAUGGCCGUCGUCAGUUCGUACUGUAAAGCGUUCUGUUAAGUCAGAUAACGAACGAGACCCGCAUCCUUAUUUGCCACCCCUGUCCCCGGACAGGGCGCACUAUAGGGAGACCGCUUGUGCGAAACAAGAGGAAGGCGCGGGCAACGACAGGUCAGUAUGCCCCGAAUGCUCUGGGCUACACGCGCGCUACAAAGGAUGGGACAAUGGGAAGCCACGCCGAGAGGCGGCGCUACCUCGAAACCCAUUCGUAGUUCGGAUUGAGGGCUGUAACUCGCCCUCAUGAAGCUGGAUUCCGUAGUAAUCGUGUUUCAACAUAGCACGGUGAAUAUGCCCCUGCUCCUU
rnacentral:rRNA from 1 species